rnacentral:lncRNA from 1 species
CCCGACUGAUCUAAUUACUACAGCUUCAUAGUAAGGUGGUGUUUGGAAUGAACCACACUCUCGAUGUGCAUACAGAGAAGAUGGCUGGCUGGCUGGAUCCAGGGUUUUAAUGUUUCCAGGACAAGGGCAUGGGAACAACCAUCUCCUGGAAUGGCCCUUCCACAGGAAGAGAGGAGGAUGCAUGGCACAGAGGAAGGAUGGGGCACCUGGAUUCAAAAUCUGCUUACACCAUCCACGGAGCCUGGGAUGUUGAAGAAUUAGUUUUUUCUGUUGGAACUUGCUUUCCUUACUUGUAAAAUAAAGUUAAUCCUGCAAAC